rnacentral:rRNA from 1 species
UACGGAGGGUGCAAGCGUUAUCCGGAUUCACUGGGUUUAAAGGGUGCGUAGGUGGGCAGUUAAGUCAGUGGUGAAAUCUCCGGGCUCAACCCGGAAACUGCCAUUGAUACUAUCUGUCUUGAAUAUCGUGGAGGUAAGCGGAAUAUGUCAUGUAGCGGUGAAAUGCUUAGAUAUGACAUAGAACACCAAUUGCGAAGGCAGCUUACUACCCGAAUAUUGACACUGAGGCACGAAAGCGUGGGAUCAAACAGG